CUGCAGCAGAGCGCAGGGACAGGUUCCAUUCACGGCAUGUCCUUUCUGACAAAUACUCCACCAAUGCUCCACGUACCCUGAUCUGGUCUGAUUCCACCCUCUGCACAGGAUUUCCCAUUCCCAAACCUGAGCUGAUUGCCUGGCUGGAACGAGGGGAAGAGCCGUGGGUGCCCGAUCUCCAGGCCUGCAAGGAAAGAAGGCUUCCGAGAAGCACCUGGGCAGGUGCUGAGCGAGGGAGUGAGAAUGAGGAGGGGAAUCAUCAUGAGGAAGUUCCCGGGGAAGCGGAACCGCAGGGGACCUUUGUGGGAAGAGCUGAAGGGAAUUUUUCCCAGUACUUAGAGCAGGCGGAAGCCUGGGGAAGUUGGCACAGGUCAGAGAGGCUUCUGGGAAACCACCCAGGGAAGAAAGUGGAUGAAUCUAUUAAUGGUGGGGGAGGCGAGGAUCCCAGAGCGCAGCAGACAAACCCCAAGGAAAAGACAACCUGGCACUACCUUCAGUGUGGGAAAGAAUUCACUGUGAGAUCACAGCUUGUGACAGAUCAGACAAACCAUACUGAAGAGAAACCCCUUCGAUGCUUGGACCAUGGGGAAAGCUUCAAUAAGCUCUCAGAUCUUAAUAACCAUGGGACAAGUCACACUGGAGAGAAACCCACUCAAUCCCUCGAGUGCGGGAAAUGUUUCAUUUCGAAGACACAAAUAAUUAGACAUCAGUUAAGCCACACAGGGGAGAAGCCCCAUAAAUGCUUGGAUUGUGGGAAAAGUUUCAUACAGAGGUCAGAUCUUGUUAAACAUCAGGCAAUCCACAUGGGAGAGAAACCCCACACGUGCUUGGACUGUGGGAAAAGUUUCACAGAGAGGUCAAACCUUGUUAAACAUCAGGCAAUCCACAGAGGAGAAAGACCCCACAAGUGCUUGGACUGUGGGAAGAGUUUCAUAAGAAAGUCAAACCUUGUUGAACAUCAGGCAAUCCACACAGGAGAGAGACCCCACAAGUGCUUGGACUGUGGGAAAAGUUUCAU